GAACUGCACCCCCCCGGGACAAGGAUGGCGAUUCCAUCAAAAAAUAAGGGUGCUGGCAACCUGUGGCACCUUUGCCAAAGCAAGACGUUACCUGACCCGAUCGCUUGAGGAAGGCUGCCUUACAGCAGACCUGCAAUCGGAUGAUGGUGAGAUGGGGCCAAGGAAAAGACGACCAAACAAAAGGUAUUUGGAGGAGGACAGCGAGGAGGAGG